GCCCUAAUGUUUAAGGGUUGACCUUAAUCUGUUGGGCUUAAGGACUGGCCCAUAGGGUGCUAAGGCCCCUAAAGAUGUUAGGAUUUCCCUUUCAGCCUCAUUCUUGCAAAACAGAACCUAAAAAUCUGCCCCUCUUGCUUUUCAGAACGCUCUGCUAGGGUUAGCCGUCAACUUCCCCAAGCGAACUCAAGCUCUUCCUCUCCAUCUACUUAUCUUUGUUCCUAAAGCUGCUGCGUUCUUUUGUUCGGUGCCGAGGUCGCGUCGGGAUAGUCUACUAGCUUAUUUCCAGAGGUGAGAACUCCCCGAAAUCAUCAAGGUGAUGGAGGUUCCGUUGCAUAUACCGCUUGGACUAGAUCUAUAUCUUUAUGGGCUUUCUAGUUGUCUUUUAAUUUAAUUUUGGUUAUUGUUGAAUGUUGUAACUGAUUUUUGUUUUGGCAUCGUGGUUUGCCUAGGAUAUUGUAGGGGUUGUGUUUAAGACCCCAGGACUGUGCUGUUGUACUAUCUGUGUGUGACGCUUCCUUUAAUUACGUUUAUUAAUUAAAUGGGACAUUACAUUUAUGGUAUCAGAGUGGUCAUUCCUUAGGUCUGUGGACUUGGAUGACGCAGCAAAGCACGACGAUGA